GACAGAGGAUGCAAGCGUUAUCCGGAAUGAUUGGGCGUAAAGAGCGUGUAGGCGGCCCGGUAAGUCCGCUGUGAAAGUCGGGGGCUCAACCCUCGAAUGCCGGUGGAUACUGUCGGGCUAGAGUGCGGAAGAGGCGAGUGGAAUUCCUGGUGUAGCGGUGAAUGACGCAGAUAUCAGGAGGAACACCGGUGGCGGAAAGGCGGGUCUCUGGGCCGAUACUGACGCUGAGGAGCGAAAGCGUGGGGAGCGAACAGG
rnacentral:rRNA from 1 species